CGGGGAGUGAUGGGGAAAGAGAUGGCCUUGGGAUGGGCUGAGGUCUUGAGGGAAGGGGCACCAGCUCCUCAUCCUGCAUGCCUUAUUUAUUAAGAACCCAAUUAGCAUCUGAGAAUUGUUGCCACGAGUCAGGUGACCAGAUGCCUUAAGAAUAUCUGUUCUCUUACCUUGCUGCUUCUUCCAUUUGGGCUUUACCUCUUCUUUCCCACUCCUCCAUCCACGGUGGAAAAAAAGAAAAAGAAAGAAAGAAAGAAGGAAGGAAGGAAGGAAGGAAGGAAGGAAGGAAGGAAGGAAGGAAGGAAGGAAGGAAGGAAGAAAGAAAGAAAGAAAGAAAGAAAGUGAAAGAAAGAAAGGAAAGAAAGAAAAAGAAAAGAAAAGAGGCGCCAUGAGCUUGUCACCUUCUCUAAUGGAGGAAGAGGAAUAAGGAAUAACCUUUCUCUCCAUUUUGAAGAAAGACUCCCCAUCUUUUCAAGUAUCAGUGAAGUUAAAGGACAUGGACACUGAGGACUUGACUUCGAAUUUCCAAUUCCUAGGAUCAUGUUACACCAAAUAACCAACUAAUUUAGUUAGAAUAUCAAUAAGUUUAGUCCACAAAGUUAGUUGCUUAAGUGCUGCAGCUACAUUUUUAUUUUAGGUUUUGGUCUACUAGCGUUCCAAAAUAUUCUGAAAAGAAGUUCCAGUUUGGAGAUUCCUGUGCAUGGUUUUUCUCUUGCUUAGUAAGGACUUAGUAAGAAUCGACCCAACUAAUGCCCCUCUAGAGGAAAAAACUGUGAAACUAGUUUCCAGAGUUGAAACGAGUAACCAUUUUAAAUCACAAUAAAAAUAAUUUUUAAAUGUUCUAU
rnacentral:lncRNA from 10 species